rnacentral:lncRNA from 1 species
CGUGGGUUCCAAACAGAGACUGAAUAAAGUUCAAACAAAGGGCAUUUUGUGCAGAAUGUGUAGUAUUCUGUUCCCUCAGAUCCCCCCCCCCCCACUCCUCUGCACAGAAUGCAACACCCUUAUUAUCUCUUCCUCUCAAAAAAAAAUACAACUGGAAGCUGCCAGUCUGCUGUGCACCAGGUCAGACAAAAUGGAGGUCCAAUGUUACAAAU